rnacentral:rRNA from 1 species
CACCGCGGUUAUACGAGAGGCCCAAGUUGAUAAAUGCCGGCGUAAAAUGUGGUUAAUAUAAUGUUUCACUAAAGCCAAACAUCUUCAGAGCUGUCAUACCCACAUGAAGACAGGAAGCCCUUCUACGAAAGUGGCUUUAAAUAGUAUUAUCCACGAAAGCUAGGAUA